AUUGAACGCUGGCGGCAGGCCUAACACAUGCAAGUCGAACGAGUGGCGGACGGGUGAGUAAUGUCUGGGAAACUGCCUGAUGGAGGGGGAUAACUACUGGAAACGGUAGCUAAUACCGCAUACCAUCGGAUUGGCCCAGAUGGGAUUAGCUAGUAGGGGGGGUAACGGCUCACCUAGGCGACGAUCCCUCGCUGGUCUGCGAGGCUGCCCAGCCACACUGGACCUGCGAAACGGUCCAGACGCCUAUGGGAGGCAGCAGUGGGGAAUAUUGCACAAUGGGCGCAAGCCUGAUUCAGCCAUGCCGCUUGUAUGAAGAAGGCCUUCGGGUUUUAAAGUACUUUCAGCGGGGAGGCGUUACCCGCAGAAGAAGCACCUGCUAACUCCGUGCCAGCCGCCGCGGUAAUUC
rnacentral:rRNA from 1 species